ensembl:snRNA U4 U4 spliceosomal RNA
AACUUUGCACAGUGGCAGUAUCAUAUAAAUGAUGUUUAUCUGAGGCAAAACUACUGCUAAUUGAAAACUUUUCCCAAUAUCUCACCAUAAUGAUUUACUAUAUAGUCUCUAAGGAGA